CACGUAGUUAGCCGUGGCUUAUUCAAGGGGUACCGUCUUCCGCUCUUCCCCCUUAAAAGAAGUUUACAACCUGAAAGCCUUCUUCCUUCACGCGGCGUUGCUGGGUCAGACUUGCGCCCAUUGCCCAAUAUUCCCCACUGCUGCCUCCCGUAGGAGUCUGGGCCGUAUCUCAGUCCCAAUGUGGCCGGCCAACCUCUCAGUCCGGCUACUGAUCGUCGCCUUGGUGGGCCGUUACCUCACCAACUAGCUAAUCAGACGCGAGGCCAUCUUCCAGCGAUAAAUCUUUGACGUCGGAGUCAUGCGGCUCCAACGCAUCAUGCGGUAUUAGCAGUCGUUUCCAACUUGUUCGUCCCCCUCUGGAAGGCAGGUUCCUCACGCGUUACUCACCAGUCCGCCACUAAGCAUUCCCAUCCGUUGUACCGAAAACUCCUUCAGGGGUGCUCGUUCACUUGCAUGUGUUAAGCACGCCGCCAGCGUUCGUCUGACGCACGGAUACGAAACUCCUA
rnacentral:rRNA from 1 species